CAGCCGCCGCGGUAAUACGAAGGGUGCAAGCGUUAAUCGGAAUUACUGGGCGUAAAGCGUGCGUAGGCGGUUUGUUAAGUCUGUUGUGAAAUCCCCGGGCUCAACCUGGGAAUGGCAAUGGAUACUGGCAAGCUAGGGUGUGUCAGAGGAUGGUGGAAUUCCCGGUGUAGCGGUGAAAUGCGUAGAGAUCGGGAGGAACAUCAGUGGCGAAGGCGGCCAUCUGGGACAACACUGACGCUGAGGCACGAAAGCGUGGGGAGCAAACAGGAUUAGAUACCCCGGUAGUCCCUGUCUCUUAUAC
rnacentral:rRNA from 1 species